rnacentral:rRNA from 1 species
GGGCGAGCCUGACGCAGCGACGCCGCGUGAGGGAGGAAGGCCUUCGGGUUGUAAACCUCUUUCAGGAGGGACGAAGCUACUCGGGUGAAUAGCCCAGAGGGUGACGGUACCUCCAGAAGAAGCCCCGGCUAACUACGUGCCAGCAGCCGCGGUAAUACAUAGGGGGCAAGCGUUGUCCGGAUUUACUGGGCGUAAAGCGCGUGUAGGCGGCCACGCAGGUCCGUUGUGAAAACUGGAGGCUUAACCUCCAGACGUCGACGGAAACCGUGUGGCUAGAGUCCGGAAGAGGAGAGUGGAAUUCCUGGUGUAGCGGUGAAAUGCGCAGAUAUCAGGAAGAACACCAAUGGCGAAGGCAGCUCUCUGGGACGGUACUGACGCUGAGACGCGAAAGCGUGGGGAGCGAACAGGAUUAGAUACCCUGGUAGUCCACGCCGUAAACGAUGGGCGCUAGGUGUGGGAGGUGUCGACUCCUUCCGUGCCGUAGCUAACGCAUUAAGCACCCCGCCUGGGGAGUACGGCCGCAAGACUAAAACUCAAAGGAAUUGACGGGGCCCCGCACAAGCAGCGGAGCAUGUGGUUUAAUUCGAUGCAACGCGAAGAACCUUACCAGGGCUUGACAUGCACUGGAAAACCGUAGAAAUACGGUCCUCCUUCGGGACCAGUGCACAGGUGGUGCAUGGCUGUCGUCAGCUCGUGUCGCGAGAUGUUGGGUUAAGUCCCGCAACGAGCGCAGCCCCUGUCCCAUGUUGCCAGCGAGUAAUGUCGGGGACUCAUGGGAGACUGCCGGUGACAAAUCGGAGGAAGGUGGGGAUGAUGUCAGGUCGUCAUUGUUCUUACAUCCUGGGCUACAAACACGCUACAAUGGCCGGGUACAAAGGGCAGCUAAGCAGCGAUGCGGAGCA